UACAGAGACUGCAAGCGUUAUUCGGAUUCACUGGGCGUAAAGGGGUGCGCAGGCGGCCGAGUGUGUGAGGCGGUGAAAGCCCGGGGCUUAACCCCGGAAUUGCACCUCAAACUACACGGCUAGAGCAUUGGAGAGGGUAGCAGAAUUCAUGGUGUAGCAGUGAAAUGCGUAGAUAUCAGGAGGAACACCGGUGGCGAAGGCGGGACUCUGGGCCGAUGACUGACGCUGAGGAGCGAAAGCGUGGGGAGCAACAGGAUA
rnacentral:rRNA from 1 species